GGCUCGUUGGUCUAGGGGUAUGAUUCUCUCUUUGGGUGCGAGAGGUCCCGGAUUCAAAUCCCGGACGAGCCC
rnacentral:tRNA from 1 species